UACGUAGGGGGCAAGCGUUGUCCGGAUUUAUUGGGCGUAAAGAGCUCGUAGGCGGCUUCGUAAGUCGGAUGUGAAAUCCCUCGGCUUAACUGAGGGCGGCCAUUCGAUACUGCGGAGCUAGAGGCCGGUAGGGGGACAUGGAAUUCCUGGUGUAGCGGUGAAAUGCGCAGAUAUCAGGAGGAACACCGGUGGCGAAGGCGGUGUCCUGGGCCGGUCCUGACGCUGAGGAGCGAAAGCUGGGGGAGCAAACAGG
rnacentral:rRNA from 1 species